GACGAACGCUGGCGGCGUGCUUAACACAUGCAAGUCGAGCGGAAAGGCCCUUUCGGGGGUACUCGAGCGGCGAACGGGUGAGUAACACGUGAGUAAUCUGCCCUUGGCUUGGGAUAACCACCGGAAACGGUGGCUAAUACCGGAUAUGACGGGCUCCGGCAUCGGGGUUCGUGGAAAGUUUUUUCGGCCAGGGAUGUGCUCGCGGCCUAUCAGCUUGUUGGUGGGGUAAUGGCCUACCCAAGGCUUCGACGGGUAGCCGGCCUGAGAGGGUGACCGGCCACACUGGGACUGAGACACGGCCCAGACUCCUACGGGAGGCAGCAGUGGGGAAUAUUGGACAAUGGGCGGAAGCCUGAUCCAGCAACGCCGCGUGAGGGA
rnacentral:rRNA from 1 species